rnacentral:rRNA from 1 species
AAUCCAUAGGUUAAUGAGGCGAACCGGGGGAACUGAAACAUCUAAGUACCCCGAGGAAAAGAAAUCAACCGAGAUUCCCCCAGUAGCGGCGAGCGAACGGGGAGGAGCCCAGAGCCUGAAUCAGCAUGUGUGUUAGUGGAAGCGUCUGGAAAGGCGCGCGAUACAGGGUGACAGCCCCGUACACAAAAGCGCAUGUGCUGUGAGCUCGAUGAGUAGGGCGGGACACGUGGUAUCCUGUCUGAAUAUGGGGGGACCAUCCUCCAAGGCUAAAUACUCCUGACUGACCGAUAGUGAACCAGUACCGUGAGGGAAAGGCGAAAAGAACCCCGGCGAGGGGAGUGAAAAAGAACCUGAAACCGUGUACGUACAAGCAGUGGGAGCACCCUUUGGGGUGUGACUGCGUACCUUUUGUAUAAUGGGUCAGCGAC